GCCGUCGUAGCACAAUGGUAGUGCGUUGCUUUCCUAAGCGCUUGCUUACGUAAGGCAGAGGCUGUGGGUUCGAUCCCCACCGUCGGUU